CAUGGUAGUGUGUAAUGUUUUUUUAAAUUGAUUUAAUAUAUUUUUUGUGUAUAAUUUAAAAAAACAUUAACAUUUUGCACUCCUCUAUAUUUUCUACAAGUGUGGGAAAUUUCAUACUCCUCCGUCCGCGCAAUUUUCGUAAAAAGGGUUACAAAAUUUUUGCUUCAGGCAUUAAUAUACUUUAUAGAUUAGUCGUGCGUACGUGGCUUAUGUUACAAUCUUGUCGGUCUUUAUUGUGUAUUUUUUUAGCUUAUAAUGUGUAUUGUAAAAUAUAUAUAAAUAAAUAAAAACUGUCUGAAGAUCGGAAGUGAAUUUAGAACAAUUCUCACGACAAUCUACAACGUAGUUCCCGUGGGAAAACAUUAUACGGUACUUCAUUACAGCGAAUGCAUACAAAUGGAUCCGCUCAAACCAGAUACUGAACUAUCGGGUCGAGGGCUAGCGAUAUCAGACGCAUCUACCACGCGAAAGGUCGCGAGUUUGAGACCAGGCAUCUGGACGCUUAAUCGACAAUCUGAAAUAUAUAUCCUGUCUAUCGAGAGUUUUAUGACUAGUCUAUCUGAUGCCAAACCUCUUUAUUUAUUUGGACCCGUAUAUUGAAUCACAUACUAUCUCCAACACGCAUUGGUUUCUCAGAAAUAGUGAGAUUCAUGGAUAUUUAGAAAUACCGACUGCUAGAGAGGAAGUCAACAAGAACAGCAAGAGAUACAAAGAAAGACUAAAUGAGCACUCAAAUGAAUUGGCAAGGUGCCUGCUAGAUACAACUGGGGAUGUGAAAUGUUUAAGAAGAUGGCAAAUUUUAGAAUUAGAUCGAAGAAACUGCUGUAAUUGAUGACAUUUAAUGUAAUGUCAUCCAAAACUCGAACCCCUUGGGACACUUCUGAUUAUGGCUAUCGAGCCGAUUGCAGAUAAAUAUAGAAAGAAAAAAAAAUUGAUUCAGAGGUUCAUGCGUUUGGUAUGUGAUGAAAAUUAGUGAAAAGAAUUUAGUUCAUAAAUCAGACAAAAGUACUAUAAUAAACACGACGAAUCACUAAUACUAGUAAAGCGGCCUGGGCUGCUGAUUCUUAAAAAAAUCUUAGGAUAGUCAAGCAGUCAAGAGUCAUAUAAAAUCUUUUACUGGGCGUACUGAACUACUCUAGUAUGGUCGGAGAUUAAAAAAACCUCAACGUUGAUUAUCCUUCUGGCAACAUUUUCUGUAAAAUAGCUGUGCUUUCUAGAUUUUGAAUGAAAUAUCAGUCAUUCCAACGCGACAGAUACUACAAUGACAUGGGCAACAGUAGUUGUUCUGUGAUACCCAUCAGCAGUGAUAAAGUAAAUGUGAGAUUUAAAGUCUGUGGUUCAGAUACAGAUAAUUAAAUAAUUAAAAUCUCA